rnacentral:snRNA from 1 species
AUACUUACCUGGGAGAGGAGAUACUGUGAUCACGAAGGUGGUUUUCCCAGGGCCAGGCUUAUCCAUUGCACUCCGGAUGUGCUGACACAUGUGAUUUCCUCAAAUGUGGGAAACUCGACUGUAUAAUUUAUGGUGGUGGGGGACUAUGAUUGUGCUCUCCCCUG